rnacentral:rRNA from 1 species
CUCUGUUGUUUAAAGAAGAACACGUAUGAGAGUAACUGUUCAUACGUUGACGGUAUUUAACCAGAAAGUCACGGCUAACUACGUGCCAGCAGCCGCGGUAAUACGUAGGUGGCAAGCGUUAUCCGGAUUUAUUGGGCGUAAAGAGAGUGCAGGCGGUUUUCUAAGUCUGAUGUGAAAGACCUUCGGCUUAACCGGAGAAGUGCAUCGGAAACUGGAUAACUUGAGUGCAGAAGAGGGUAGUGGAACUCCAUGUGUAGCGGUGGAAUGCGUAGAUAUAUGGAAGAACACCAGUGGCGAAGGCGGCUACCUGGUCUGCAACUGACGCUGAGACUCGAAAGCAUGGGUAGCGAACAGGAUUAGAUACCCUGGUAG